rnacentral:rRNA from 1 species
GACGAACGCUGGCGGCGUGCCUAAUACAUGCCAGUUGAGCGCUGAAGGUUGGUACUUGUACCAACUGGAUGAGCAGCGAACGGGUGAGUAACGCGUGGGGAAUCUGCCUUUGAGCGGGGGACAACAUUUGGAAACGAAUGCUAAUACCGCAUAAAAACUUUAAACACAAGUUUUAAGUUUGAAAGAUGCAAUUGCAUCACUCAAAGAUGAUCCCGCGUUGUAUUAGCUAGUUGGUGAGGUAAAGGCUCACCAAGGCGAUGAUACAUAGCCGACCUGAGAGGGUGAUCGGCCACAUUGGGACUGAGACACGGCCCAAACUCCUACGGGAGGCAGCAGUAGGGAAUCUUCGGCAAUGGACGAAAGUCUGACCGAGAAACGCCGCGUGAGGGAAGAAGGUUUUCGGAUCGUAAAACUCUGUUGGUAGAGAAGAACGUUGGUGAGAGUGGAAAGCUCAUCAAGUGACGGUAACUACCCAGAAAGGGACGGCUAACUACGUG